rnacentral:rRNA from 1 species
UAUGUGAUCGUCUCUCGCAUAUCAAUAAGCGGAGGAAAAGAAACUAACAAGGAUUCCCCUAGUAACGGCGAGUGAAGCGGGAAGAGCUCAAAUUUGAAAUCUUAAAGGGUUUCCCUUUACGAAUUGUAGUUUAAAGAAGUGUUUUCUGUUGAGGUUUUGGUAAAAGUUCUUUGGAAUAGGACAUCAUAGAGGGUGAGAAUCCCGUAUUUGACCUUUACUUUCAACUUUGUGAUACACUUUCAAAGAGUCGGAUUGUUUGGGAAUGCAGUCCAAAAUGGGUGGUAAAUUUCAUCUAAAGCUAAAUAUUGGCGAGAGACCGAUAGCGAACAAGUACCGUGAGGGAAAGAUGAAAAGAACUUUGAAAAGAGAGUUAAACAGUACGUGAAAUCGUCAAAAGGGAAGCGUUUGACACCAGUGUUGUUUUUCUGAAAAUCAAUUGAAGAACUGUUUAUGCUAAGUUGUUUAGACUUUAUCAGCUAACUGUUUAGUUUUGAGCUUUUCUUUAAUGCACUUUUCAGUUAACAAGUCGACAUCAAUUUCUUUUGCUGUAAAAAAGCUUGAGGAAGGUGGCUUGAGAUUCGUCUUAAGUGUUUAUAGCCUCUUGCCUAUGCAGUCGGAGAGAUUGAGGUCUGCAGCGUAGAUCCUUCGGGGCUAAAUGCAUUUGUGCUAAGUUAUAGCAUUUUAUAGACAACUUGUUGACUAUGAUUUGUCUUGUAGCUUACUCGCUUAUGUUAUUUUACCUACGCUUAGGAUGUUGAGUCGUAGGAGCACGCAG